CAUGACUUAGGGCCCUGGUUUCGUAAGCAGGAAGAGGCGGCCCAUUGGGGUGACUGAGGCAGGAGUUACAGAUAACUCCUGGGCGUGGCAUCGCUGGUCUCCAGAGAGCCUGGGUCCCCAACCCGGAUGACCAGCAGUGGUGAGACUUGGCACAGAGAGGCCGCAGCGUCUGUGGCACUGCAGGAGGGCAGCAAUCCGAUGCCCAGGUGUCCAGGCAACGGAGAGGGCCCUGGGCCCAGUGAGUGCCUCCUUCCUCCUGAGAAGGCGCUUUAGGAUGGGAGGGGCGUGGACUGCUGGGGGGUCUGCGAACAGGAGGAGGGGUCAGCUGGCACGCCCCCGAAUGCUGCGCUGCUGACCCCCCAGAGGGGCGUGACCUGAUGACGGAGCCCGUGUCUCCAUCAGACCGGGCUCACUGGGGCAGGGACCGUCUCCCUUAUCAGCCGGGUGCUCUCGAGGAUGAUUCCUACAUGUCCCCUAUUAGACAGUUCUGUGCCUUCCUCAAUACCUCGGAACUAUGAAGGCCAGAGUGGCCCCUUCAGCUGGGGGUAGGAGCUGUGUCUCCCAUACCAGACUGGAACUCCUCCAACCUAUGUCCUUCCCAGUAGCCUGGAGGGCGGGAACUGCCUUUACGCCUGAACUGGGUUCCCUCUGAGCAAGGUCUGCAUCUCCCCCAGUUAGACUGGGGACUCCUGAAGGCAAGCUUUGUGCCUCUCUAUCAGUCUAUGGGCUCCUGAGGAGAGGAUCUGUGUUUGCUCCAUCAGACUGGGGAAGCCUCGAGGACAGGCACCUUCUCCGGCUUAAGUCUCACUGCCCGCCCCACCCCCAAGGACUGGGGCUUACCCCAGACCAGACCCCAGACCAGCCCGGCCCGCGGCAUCACUUACUCUCUCUCCCUUGUCCUCUUCGUCACUGAAGAACCAGUCUGACUGCAGAGAAGACAAAAGGAAGGGAUGAAAUCAGCGUGGGAAAGAAGUCUCCUCCACCUGCUCAUUCCAGAGGACCCGCUCAGGCGGCAAGGGGCGCCUCUCUCUCCACAAACCCCAGGCUGGCGGGGCUGCAAAAGAGGGCUCAGAGGGAGCUUGACGGACCCUAAAACCUGACUCCACAGACUGCAAAAAAUCCUAGGGCAGAGAAAAGGUGGGACCCCAGUGUGGGAGGAAACACGGCCGGGAGUGGGAGGGGCGGCCUCAGACCGGAGAUAGGCUCAGGAACAGCUUCGCUUUUGCUUUUCUCUGAACACUGUCCUGGGCACACCCUGUGGUACACUCCUCACGGCGAGCCAGGGGGCGGGGAGGCACCAGGGUCCUUAGUGUCGGUCAGGUCCAUGGCUGUAACAGCCAAGCGUGCCCCAUGCCACCUGCCAGCCAUGGGUGCCACACUGACAACAGGGGUGUCACAUACCCAGCCCAGAAAAGGAAAAUGCCAGGAGAAAGGUGUUGGAGGUUUCCUGAGGGGCAGGAGGCGAGAGCUGUCUCAUAAAGGCCAAACAAGAGAGAAAAUAAAGAUCCCUACACUUUAAUAUAUUUUGUAAAAUUUGAGAAUCUUGAAGAUAAAAUUCUAAGUUUUCUGAAAAAAUAAAAUAAAAUCCAGCUUGCUUAUAAAUGAACACGUAUCACAGAUACUUGGAACUUUCAGCAGCAAGACAUAAGAAGACAAGAAAGUAAGUUUCGAUGUGUUGAAGGAACCUAGAAUUUUAUACCCUGCUAAAUUCUCAUUUAAAUUUGAGUAUAAAAUAAAGCUAUUCUUUUUUUGUU